rnacentral:rRNA from 1 species
CAGUCGCCGCGGUAAUACGUAGGGUGCAAGCGUUAAUCGGAAUUGCUGGGCGUAAAGCGUGCGCAGGCGGUUUGUUAAGACAGAUGUGAAAUCCCCGGGCUCAACCUGGGAACUGCAUUUGUGACUGGCAAGCUAGAGUCUGGCAGAGGGGGGUGGAAUUCCGCGUGUAGCAGUGAAAUGCGUAGAUAUGCGGAGGAACACCGAUGGCGAAGGCAGCCCCCUGGGCCAACACUGACGCUCAUGCACGAAAGCGUGGGGAGCAAACAGGAUUAGAUACCCCCGUAGUCCCUGUCUCUUAUAC